CGCACACACUUUCGGCGCACGCGGCUUCAUUCGAGUCAGGUUGAGCAGGUAGUGUGUCCGCAUGCGGUCGUCACGUCCCGUCGUCAUAUUUCUUGUGAGUUUGAUUCGGUCAAUCGAGCUAUUGUAAGUCUCGUUGAAGUUCACCAUUAAUCCAUAUUCCUACUAAGUUAUGUAAAAUGAUUGUGGUGUGCUCUUGUUUUAUUGUUCGUUGAGAAUUAAAUUCGGUCAAUCGUUGCUUUCAAUCGAGUAUCGUGGGCGUGUGGCCAGUUAAAGUUUCCAAUUGGUUCACUGGUGACACAGGAAGAGUUCUUUAAUGGCAUGAACUGCAUUUACUCACCUGCGAGGGUCGGGAAGUGCCCUUAAAUCACUCUCAAACUUCAGCAAUUUUUGUCAUUUUUGAAAUGUUGUGGUGGAAAAUGGUCAUAGAGGAAGAGUUCAUUAAUGGCCUGAACUGCAGUUAGUCACCUGCAAGGCUCGGGAAGUGCCCUUAAAUCACUCUCAAACUUCAGCAAUUUUUGUCUUUUUGAAAAGUUGUGGUGGAAAAUGGUCUGUAUCUUGUAUUUCCUUUAUUGGAUUUUAAUUCUGUUUGCUUCAAGUGAUAGAGGAAGAGUUAGAGUUCUUUAAUGGUAUGAACUGCAUUCAGUUAUCCCCAACGAUCGGGAUUUGCCCUUAAAUCACUCUCAAACUUUAGCAAUUUUUGUCGUUUUUGAAAUAUUGUGGUGGAAAAUGGUCAUAGAGGAAGAGUUCUUUAAUGGCAUGAACUGCAUUUAGUCACCUGCAAGGGUCGGGAAGUGCCCUUAAAUCACUCUCAAACUUCAGCAAUUUUUGUCUUUUUGAAAAGUUGUGGUGGAAAAUGGUGAUAGAGGAAGAGUACUUUAAUGGCAUGAACUGCAUUUAGUCACCUGCAAGGGUCGGGAAGUGCCCUUAAAUCAAUCUCAAACUUCAGCAAUUUUUGUCAUUUUUGAAAAGUUGUGGUGGAAAAUGGUCUGUAUCUCGCGUUUCCUUUAUUGGAUUUUAAUUUUGUUUGUUUCAAGUGGUAGAAGAAGAGUUCUUUUGCCGUAUUAACUACACUCAGUCACUAUCAAGGGUUGGGAAGUGCCCUUAAAUCACUCUCAAACUUCUGGAAUUUUCGUCAUUUUUGAAAAGUUACGGUGGUAAAUGGUGAUAGAAGAAGAGUUCUGAAGUCGUAUGAACCACAUUCAGUUACCAUCAAGGGUCGGGAAGUGCUCUUAAAUCCCUCUCAAACUUCAGCAAUUUUUGUCAUUUUUGAAAAGCUGUGGUAGAAAAUGAUCUGUAUCUCGCGCUUUCCUGACUCGCUUUUAAUACUUUUGAAUAUCUGGAAGUAUUAAAUUAAUCUCCAAAUAUCUUUGUUCUUUUCAAAAUAUUUGGGCCUUGUGAUUAAAGAUUUCCAGUUGGGCACCGUAGAUAUUUUGCCUUGUGCGCUAGUAGUACCAAAACAGGCGGCGCUGCUUGCUCAGUACUGUGCAUCCACAGCUGUACGCGCGAGACUUGUUUGUAAACAAUUUUCUUGUCGCGUUCAGCGAACGUAUCGCGCAAUACUGAUAGUGAUCUCAUGUUGUCGCAGUUGGCUGUAUGUAUUUUGCUGCACACGCAGUUCAAUUCCGGACAUCGAGUGAGGUGCGCGUGUUCAUCGCGACUAGUUUUGCACAUAAGAAUAACUUGUAUAUAUUAUUAACUAGCUGACCCGGCAAACUUUGUUCCGCCUCGCUAUGCUCUUGAGAUUGAGAAGCACGAAGUCGAGUCAUACUAACUGACUAACAUGAUGCUUUUCACGUGCAAUUUUUUCUCCUUCUUCAGUCCUUUCAUUCACAAUCCUUCGAAUCCUAGUUGCAUUACGGUUUUGUCGGAUAAGAUUUGAUCGUUUUGGUCCCUGCAUGUUGAGUGGGGAAGCUACGAAGCAUCGCACAAAGAAGAGACGGAGAAAACUCGUUUAGUAUCUUCCAAAGAAGUUUUCACUUCAAAAAGUAUUAAAAAAAGUAUCCUACACUUAGGGUGCAUUCGCGUUGGACGCUUACGCGCUGUGAGCGUGCUUACAUGUCAUUUUCAUCGUUCGACUUGGCGCUGUGAGUCACAUAAGUACGCUCAUGGCUGAGUUCGUAGCACAGACUUCGCGCUCAUUUAUGCUCACGCCACAGAGGUAGGGCAGCGAAAGCGUGAGCGCCAAUUUUUAUUAUCUGUCAAAACGAAUGCAACUUGAGCAUAAGCUAACCAAAAAAUUUCAUUUAUUUCUAAAUUGUUAAAUUCUUUACAAUCCCGCAAAAAUGGCAAGCAGUCAACCAAAAUUAAUUUCUGUUGAGCUAACUGAUCCAGAAAGUAAUAAAAUUUACAAUUAAAUAAAAAUUUAAAAAAUAAAAAUUUAAAUUAUUUGAUAAACA